rnacentral:rRNA from 1 species
UACGUAGGGUGCAAGCGUUGUCCGGAAUUAUUGGGCGUAAAGAGCUCGUAGGCGGCCUGUCACGUCGACUGUGAAAACCCGAGGCUCAACCUCGGGCCUGCAGUCGAUACGGGCAGGCUAGAGUUCGGUAGGGGAGACUGGAAUUCCUGGUGUAGCGGUGAAAUGCGCAGAUAUCAGGAGGAACACCGGUGGCGAAGGCGGGUCUCUGGGCCGAAACUGACGCUCAUGCACGACAGCGUGGGGAUCAAACAGG